GCUCCAGUGGUCUAGUGGUUAGAGCGUCCGCCUCGGAUGCGGGUGGUCGUGGGUUCUAUCCCAGGUUGAAUUUUGCC